rnacentral:rRNA from 1 species
ACUAAGCGUACACGGUGGAUGCCCUGGCAGUCAGAGGCGAUGAAGGACGUGCUAAUCUGCGAUAAGCGUCGGUAAGGUGAUAUGAACCGUUAUAACCGGCGAUUUCCGAAUGGGGAAACCCAGUGUGUUUCGACACACUAUCAUUAACUGAAUCCAUAGGUUAAUGAGGCGAACCGGGGGAACUGAAACAUCUAAGUACCCCGAGGAAAAGAAAUCAACCGAGAUUCCCCAGUAGCGGCGAGCGAACGGGGAGCAGCCCAGAGCCUGAAUCAGUAUGUGUGUUAGUGGAAGCGUCUGGAAAGGCGCGCGAUACAGGGUGACAGCCCCGUACACAAAAAUGCACAUGCUGUGAGCUCGAUGAGUAGGGCGGGACACGUGGUAUCCUGUCUGAAUAUGGGGGGACCAUCCUCCAAGGCUAAAUACUCCUGACUGACCGAUAGUGAACCAGUACCGUGAGGGAAAGGCGAAAAGAACCCCGGCGAGGGGAGUGAAAAAGAACCUGAAACCGUGUACGUACAAGCAGUGGGAGCACGCUUAGGCGUGUGACUGCGUACCUUUUGUAUAAUGGGUCAGCGACUUAUAUUCUGUAGCAAGGUUAACCGAAUAGGGGAGCCGAAGGGAAACCGAGUCUUAACUGGGCGUUAAGUUGCAGGGUAUAGACCCGAAACCCGGUGAUCUAGCCAUGGGCAGGUUGAAGGUUGGGUAACACUAACUGGAGGACCGAACCGACUAAUGUUGAAAAAUUAGCGGAUGACUUGUGGCUGGGGGUGAAAGGCCAAUCAAACCGGGAGAUAGCUGGUUCUCCCCGAAAGCUAUUUAGGUAGCGCCUCGUGAAUUCAUCUCCGGGGGUAGAGCACUGUUUCGGCAAGGGGGUCAUCCCGACUUACCAACCCGAUGCAAACUGCGAAUACCGGAGAAUGUUAUCACGGGAGACACACGGCGGGUGCUAACGUCCGUCGUGAAGAGGGAAACAACCCAGACCGCCAGCUAAGGUCCCAAAGUCAUGGUUAAGUGGGAAACGAUGUGGGAAGGCCCAGACAGCCAGGAUGUUGGCUUAGAAGCAGCCAUCAUUUAAAGAAAGCGUAAUAGCUCACUGGUCGAGUCGGCCUGCGCGGAAGAUGUAACGGGGCUAAACCAUGCACCGAAGCUGCGGCAGCGACGCUGAUGCGUUGUUGGGUAGGGGAGCGUUCUGUAAGCCUGCGAAGGUGUGCUGUGAGGCAUGCUGGAGGUAUCAGAAGUGCGAAUGCUGACAUAAGUAACGAUAAAGCGGGUGAAAAGCCCGCUCGCCGGAAGACCAAGGGUUCCUGUCCAACGUUAAUCGGGGCAGGGUGAGUCGACCCCUAAGGCGAGGCCGAAAGGCGUAGUCGAUGGGAAACAGGUUAAUAUUCCUGUACUUGGUGUUACUGCGAAGGGGGGACGGAGAAGGCUAUGUUGGCCGGGCGACGGUUGUCCCGGUUUAAGCGUGUAGGCUGGUUUUCCAGGCAAAUCCGGAAAAUCAAGGCUGAGGCGUGAUGACGAGGCACUACGGUGCUGAAGCAACAAAUGCCCUGCUUCCAGGAAAAGCCUCUAAGCAUCAGGUAACAUCAAAUCGUACCCCAAACCGACACAGGUGGUCAGGUAGAGAAUACCAAGGCGCUUGAGAGAACUCGGGUGAAGGAACUAGGCAAAAUGGUGCCGUAACUUCGGGAGAAGGCACGCUGAUAUGUAGGUGAAGUCCCUCGCGGAUGGAGCUGAAAUCAGUCGAAGAUACCAGCUGGCUGCAACUGUUUAUUAAAAACACAGCACUGUGCAAACACGAAAGUGGACGUAUACGGUGUGACGCCUGCCCGGUGCCGGAAGGUUAAUUGAUGGGGUUAGCGCAAGCGAAGCUCUUGAUCGAAGCCCCGGUAAACGGCGGCCGUAACUAUAACGGUCCUAAGGUAGCGAAAUUCCUUGUCGGGUAAGUUCCGACCUGCACGAAUGGCGUAAUGAUGGCCAGGCUGUCUCCACCCGAGACUCAGUGAAAUUGAACUCGCUGUGAAGAUGCAGUGUACCCGCGGCAAGACGGAAAGACCCCGUGAACCUUUACUAUAGCUUGACACUGAACAUUGAGCCUUGAUGUGUAGGAUAGGUGGGAGGCUUUGAAGUGUGGACGCCAGUCUGCAUGGAGCCGACCUUGAAAUACCACCCUUUAAUGUUUGAUGUUCUAACGUUGACCCGUAAUCCGGGUUGCGGACAGUGUCUGGUGGGUAGUUUGACUGGGGCGGUCUCCUCCUAAAGAGUAACGGAGGAGCACGAAGGUUGGCUAAUCCUGGUCGGACAUCAGGAGGUUAGUGCAAUGGCAUAAGCCAGCUUGACUGCGAGCGUGACGGCGCGAGCAGGUGCGAAAGCAGGUCAUAGUGAUCCGGUGGUUCUGAAUGGAAGGGCCAUCGCUCAACGGAUAAAAGGUACUCCGGGGAUAACAGGCUGAUACCGCCCAAGAGUUCAUAUCGACGGCGGUGUUUGGCACCUCGAUGUCGGCUCAUCACAUCCUGGGGCUGAAGUAGGUCCCAAGGGUAUGGCUGUUCGCCAUUUAAAGUGGUACGCGAGCUGGGUUUAGAACGUCGUGAGACAGUUCGGUCCCUAUCUGCCGUGGGCGCUGGAGAACUGAGGGGGGCUGCUCCUAGUACGAGAGGACCGGAGUGGACGCAUCACUGGUGUUCGGGUUGUCAUGCCAAUGGCACUGCCCGGUAGCUAAAUGCGGAAGAGAUAAGUGCUGAAAGCAUCUAAGCACGAAACUUGCCCCGAGAUGAGUUCUCCCUGACUCCUUGAGAGUCCUGAAGGAACGUUGAAGACGACGACGUUGAUAGGCCGGGUGUGUAAGCGCAGCGAUGCGUUGAGCUAACCGGUACUAAUGAACCGUGAGGCUUAACC